rnacentral:misc_RNA from 1 species
CGUCCCAUCAGAGGCUCCGCAAUUUUCUCGCUUGCCCUCUGUCUAUACUGAUGCUCCCUCUGCCAGCGGUGCUUUAUGAUUUGUUUCUCUUUCGGCUGUGCUGGCGUCAUCCGUGAACACAGACAUUGACAUCAUCGCUGAACCACUCGCAGAGACACAGCCAUUCAACUGUGCCGAUACGCCAGCGUUAAACAAGGGCGGCACACCUGCCCGUGUCAGAGCACCGCUCACGACCUUCCGAGGCACACGCGCACUUCUCCGCGCAUCUUCGACUGCACCAUGCCUGUGCUCUCGUCGUCACCACGGAGCUCCCGACCGCCGACAGAGGCGUCGGUUCCCUCGCGCGCUGUGGCGGUUCACCGAGCGGCGCCGAUGUUCCUUGUGAACGCGUCUGUUGCCGGUGCUUGUGGAGCGCUCUCCGGUGUGGUCGGAAAACUUGCUGUGGAGUCUGCCCGCGUCCCGUCGCUGGUGCGGAGCGGUGGCCUCUACCUGCAGCUGGACCUGGCCACCAUGGAGAUGGUGCAGGCUGUCGUUCCAUGGCUGCUGCGCAUCUUUUUCUUUCUCAUGAACGCCAUUCUUACGGGGUCGAUGUGGCGCUUCUACUUGAAGGCGCUCUCGCAAGGUCCGACACCAGUGUGCCAGAUCCUGAAUACUGGAACGAACUUCGUGGUGAGCGCGCUGGCUGGGCUUGUGUUUUUCGAGGAGGAGGUGACGCCGAUGUGGGGUGCCGGUGCGCUCUUGAUUGUCUUGGGCCUGGCGCUGGUAGUGUCCGACCCGCAAGUGAGCGCCUGAGGGGACGGCGAAGGCGGAUUGUGAAGAGGUGUAAGCAUGUUGGCGGUUUUCGCCAAAGGCUGUUCGUGACGGUGUGCGAAAGGAAGACCGCGACGUGCACGGGGCGAUUGUUGAUGCCCCUUUUUGCACGCAAUACAAGCGCCGCGCCUGUUCUUUGCUCUGCGACAAAGAAGGCGUGGUCUUGGUGCCUGCCGCGCUCUUUCCAGCUUCAUGAAGAUGUGAGGCGAAGCGCGCUGAGCCACGGGCUAGUGGGAGGGAGGCCCAUGACAACGGCCCCCCUUCCUCUACUCCUUCCGUGGUGACGUUUCGAAAGCUGUACCCACACGCGCAAACAAAAAGACGGACGCGUCUCUAAGCCACGCUUCCGUGGACUCACCUGGCACCCCCACCCCUUCCACCUCUUGCGCUACUACCUCGUUGUCCCUCCCUUCCCCUUACCCCUCCACUCACCUUUGUCUCUCGUGCGUUCUCUGCCUCGCCUGCUCCGUUCAUUCGAUGUGGGUCACGGGUCUAUCUGCUGUGUAG